rnacentral:rRNA from 1 species
GACGAACGCUGUUGGCGUGCCUAACACAUGCAAGUCGAGCGAAGUGAGUACUACGGUACGAACUUAGCGGCGGACGGGUGAGUAACGCGUGGACAAUCUACCCUGUAGACUGGGAUAACACCUCGAAAGGGGUGCUAAUACCGGAUAAUGUCGAUAAGCGGCAUCGCUUUUCGAAGAAAGGAGAGAAUCCGCUAUAGGAGGAGUCCGCGUCCCAUUAGCUAGUUGGUGAGGGUAACGGCCCACCAAGGCGACGAUGGGUAGCCGGCCUGAGAGGGUGAACGGCCACACUGGAACUGAGACACGGUCCAGACUCCUACGGGGGGCAGCAGUGGGGAAUAUUGUGCAAUGGGGGAAACCCUGACACAGCAACGCCGCGUGAGCGAAGAAGGCCUUCGGGUUGUAAAGCUCAAUAGUAUGGGAAGAUAAUGACGGUACCAUACGAAAGCCCCGGCUAACUACGUGCCAGCCGCCGCCGUAAAAC